AUGGCCCAGCCCGUUGCCUCUCCGGCAGAUUUCAUCGUUCAAGGGCAACAGAAGCGGCGGGAUUUUACCUGAUGGGGAUUUACCGGGGAGCAACGGCGCUCGGCCUUCAUUUAAACGCCGCUGCCGCCGCCAACUCGUGAGCGGCGCUCCUUGGGGGCUGUGGCAGUGCCGCAAUUCAGAGCGGAUCGGUCGCCGACGCGGCACGAGAGAACGCCGGAAGCCACCGCCACGGCAACGGGCGCGAGCAAGCGAGGAGCGCAGGCGGUGGCCCACCUCGCAGCGCGGGAGCCAUCGCGGUGAAACCGCACGCGCAUUUUGCAGCCUCGGAAGGAAGGAAGGAGGGAGGCGGUUGGGGGGGGAAGGGGGACGCACGGAUGGACGGAGGACCGGCGGCGCAAGGUCGUGUGCGUGUGCGCAAACGACGAGGCGCGUCACGAGGGGCGGGUCAUCGAUUACGCGGACGGAGCGGUGUGACACAGCGAGCGAGCGAUGGCCGGGACGGAGUGAGAAUUCUAAAAUGCUUCCGCCGCACGCUCGCGGGCACGGCCACCCCCGAGGAGCAACCGAUGCACCGAACCCGGCCUCUCCUGCGCGUGGAAGGCCCGCGAAACCCGAAGGCACGAACGAAGACUGUAUAAGGGAUUAUAAUUUGCCCGCCGAACAGACUGUGCUUUUCCCGAAGUGAUUAAGGAGCACCGAAUGGGAAUGAAAGAAAAUAUUAACUUCCUGCCGUCGCUGUCGUCGCGAAAGGAGAAGGGGGGGGCGCGGCCUGCGACUCAACGUGCAGGGCAAUAUUGCGCACGUGAAAUAAGGUGUGGCUAAAGGAGGCCCACACCGAGCCGAGUUCAACGGCAAGGACUUGGAGAGGCCUCCAUCCAGCUGUGGCUAGGUCAUGACCAAUAACGAUGGAAGUGACGGAAGUGACUUCGGGAGAUGUACAGCAUCGACCUCCGCGGCCAUGCCGACACAAGGUGACGCGACGCCGCUCGCAGCAAGAGAUACAAAUCAACACGUCUCCAUUUCAUGACGUAACCCUAAUAGCACAACUGGAAUGUAUUUCGACGAAAAACUAAUAAUAAUGUCGUCUUCUUCUUCUGUUCCUUCAUCGAUUCAGCGCUUUGCCCAAGGGCAGCACAUAGCUCAAGCUCCCUACAAUGCCACAUACUGGAAGGAACUUUCGGCUGGCUUCCCCUCGCCUCCAUCAGCAGACGACACCAUCGGCACCCGUUGCAGCGUUGUCACGCACAGGACUCGACAAGUCCCUUUGUGCAAUUUCUUUAAAUACGCCUCCAUAUAAAAUCAGGCGUGCGCUUCGCGUAACUUGCUUACUCUUUGACUCACGUUCCGACAGAAGGCACGGUCGGCAUGACUGCUGUUGUGCCCAAUGAGGACAACCAUGUGCUCCCCCCCCCCCCGCCCCGCCUCUUCCCGUGGCCCCGAGCAAAGCAGAAAAUAUUCCAGCGACAGGACAAUCCACGGAGCCGAGUCCCAAAGGAGACCUGCGAUUUCGAGCGGCAAUCGACGGCAUCCAACGUGCCCCCCCCAUCGUGCGUCUGGUCCCUCUCCUCCAGCGUGGCGCGCGCAAGGCUGUGAAGACGAGGCUCUCUCUCCCCUCUGCCUUAUGGCUGCAACCCUCCUCGUUCGCGGUGCCGGGGCAGCGGCGACAGGAGUUUGUCGGAAGUUAAGACACCAAAAACCGCUAGGUUACACACGUGCAAAAACAAGAAUUGGCGUCCCGACACUUGCAUGUAACAAAAGUCCCCCUUUUUUCCCGUGCAAGUGGAAAAUUAACUAAAAGCAAUAAUGUAAAUUAAUACGAGAAAUUGCAAUAAACAGAGCAUUCCA